rnacentral:rRNA from 1 species
UGAGGAAUAUUGGUCAAUGGGCGGGAGCCUGAACCAGCCAAGCCGCGUGAGGGAUGAAGGCCCUAUGGGUCGUAAACCUCUUUUGUCAGGGAACAAAAGCGAGUAUGUAUACUGGUCUGAGUGUACCUGAAGAAAAAGCAUCGGCUAACUCCGUGCCAGCAGCCGCGGUAAUACGGAGGAUGCGAGCGUUAUCCGGAUUUAUUGGGUUUAAAGGGUGCGUAGGCGGCGGUGCAAGUCAGCGGUAAAAGCCCGGGGCUCAACCCCGGCGAGCCGUUGAAACUGCAGUGCUAGAGAAGGCGAGAGGUACGCGGAAUGCGCAGUGUAGCGGUGAAAUGCUUAGAUAUUGCGCAGAACUCCGAUUGCGAAGGCAGCGUACUGGCGCCUGACUGACGCUGAGGCACGAAAGCGUGGGGAUCGAAACAGGAUUAGAUACC